AGGAGAUGAUGAUUUACCACCUCCUCCAUAAGCUUUGAACUGUUGGGUGCUGUGUGGCUGGAGCAGGAGCCAGGCAAACAGGCUGAAGGAUGAGAAGGAGCUGGAUCCUAUCCAUGGCAAGCAUCCCAGCUGUUGCUAAGCCAUCUCAGGAGGUACCACAGGGGCUGGAGGGGCACCAGACCGCGACUGCUUUGUGGGGCAGAGAUGUGCCAGAUGAAAACCAGCACUCAGAGAGAUGCUGCUGCAGCAAGGAAUGAGAGAGAGGUUGGAUGAGUGUCUGGCUGCCAGCUAAGAAUCCCAGAGGGAACAUCCAAGGUGCAACAGCAGAAAGCCCCAGACUGCCUUUCAACUCCUCCUCUCCAAGAGCCUCUUCCCAGGAACUCAGGGAGGGAGCUUUCCACACUGAAAUAUGCCUGAAGUGUCAAUGCUUCCAGUAGGAUUUCACAACGAUUGAGUUUAUCUUAAUGCAUCAUAAAAUCUUUACUAUCAAGGCCUUUUGAACAUUGUGCAUAAAAUACUGCACUACUUUUUGGCAGAAGGCAGACGAUUAUUUAUUUCAACCCAGCAUCACAUCUUUGUUGUCAUUGUUGUUUAUGAUAUACAUUGUAGAUUGAUCUGCUCAGACUCGGGAAGAUCUUCAAAUAUUUGAAAUAAGGUUACUCAGAGGAAAUCUUGAAGGUAUAGCAAGAAGUAUCUUGAAGUAUUUUUUCUAUACCCCUAGGAAAACUUAUAAGGGAAAAGGUGGCGAAUUAUCAAAUGGCAAGGCCUCCACCCUCCUGAAAAUAGAGGAUUUAUUAUCCAGGGAUACUUAACUUGCAUCUGCCAACUCAUACAGAUUGCUUAAAAGGAAAAAAAAAAAGGAGGAUUUUUUAAAAUACUAUUCUCAGUGGCUUUUAUGCUGCUUGUUCAGCUUUAGUCAGCUCCUUAGUUUAUACUCAAAAGCUGAAAACUUAAAGUGAAACAGUGGCCUAAAUCCACGGAGAUUUAUAUCCAUAAAUGUGCUUGUUUUGGAUAUGAGUUAUAUGAAUUUAUUCUCCAUAGUGAAGAGUUCAAAACCAUGAAGUAAAGAAAGGUUUUCCCCUUCCUACUCUGCCCAGUGCAGGAAUAACAACCUGCAAUUAUCUAUUUCGGGGAGGGAAAAUGCUGAGGUUUUUUUACCUAAGCCAGAGGAUUUCCUUUAACAGGAGCUGUAGCAGAGCUCUAGGUGCUGGAAAAGAGCAGGUUUAUCUGCAGAACUCCAGGAAUCAAGCAGGUCAGUGUUAUAUAAUCAACCUUCUGGAAAAAAAAGGCUACACAACCACUUCAUAUUUCUAUCAGUUUAAACAGAAUAGAAAUUCUGAUACAUUUUAUGGUGAAGUAGAGACAUCUAGUGACUAUUUUGUGUGAUUCAAAUGCAAAUUAUUAAUGGAGGAGGAGAAACAAACUCCUUCCAAAUUCUUGAAUAGCCUUCUAUUCAAGAAUUUAUAUUAUAUAUAUAUAAAAUUAUAUAUAAAUAAAAAAUAUAUUUUAUAUAUAAAAUAAAUUUGGUCUGGCUUUGCAUUACUGGCACUGAGGACAGUUUAGUGCCUAAGUACUAACACAGUUACUAACUAAUAUUACUUUGGUAAAGAAUCUUCCUCAGAACAGCUUGGCUGCAAUCUCAAACAAAAAAAAUGCCUUUUUCUAUUGAACAUCACCUGCCUGCUAAGGGAAGGGCAAGAUGCUGCAAGGAGAAGGGGAAGGAUGUUGGGGUUGGAAUUAGGUGGUCUUGAAGGGCUCUUCCAACCAAAAACAUCCUGGGAUUGAUUCCAUGCUGCCUUGGACAGGAAAGCCUUAACCCUGUAAUCUUCUGCUCCCUCACUUAGACACCUCCAUCUCAGCUGUUUACAGACUUCUGCUUUCCAGCUGGUACCUCCACAGUCCUCCCACUUCCUCCUGAAAGGUCAGUCAGGUACUGCAGCACUCUGGGACACUUCACAUUUUCUCAUUGUAUUUCAGCAGCCAAAGAGCACAUUUUCCCAGAAUAUGGUAGAGUAUCACUUUCUCCCUUGGCUGUCAUCCUUUCCAUGACAGAAGAGGACAUUGUGGUUCUUCUCCACUCUGCUGAGACCCCCCCAGCCAACUUAACGUUUUUAUAAGAUUCUAAAUCACAUUAUCUUCUGGACCACAAAUAAGUGUUCAAGAAAUGUAAGUUAAAAUAAUUGUCUAACAGGCUUUAAAUUAACAUCUUUCCCUUCUAUCCAGAGACUAGUGAGUCAGAAUUUGGAUCACUAUCCAUAAUAGCCUGUAGGAAUAAGGUGUUUUUACCUUUACCUUAGAUUUUUUUGGUAGUAUACCUGUGUGCCAUCACUGUUGAUGGGUUAAGAUGCAGUUCUGUGUAUUUCUGUUUUUUUGUUGUAAUUAAUGUUUUUCUUAAAAAACAAAAAUACGAUUCUAAGUUUUAAGCUUUAGCCAUGUAUCUUUCAUGGAUACAGUCCAAGGUGGGACUUGCUACCUUCUAUGUGGUGACUUGGACCACUUAAAUGAAGGACAAUGACCACAGCUCUGCUGAGACCCCCCUGCAGGGCUGCAUCCAGCCCUGGGAUCCCAGCACAGCAAGGACAGGGAGCUGCUGGAGCCAGGCCAGAGCAGGGACACCAAGGGGAUCAGAGGGAUGGAGCAGCUCUGCUGGGAGCAAAGGCUGAGGGAAUUGGGAUUGUUCAGCCUGGAGAGGAGAAGGCUUUGGGGUGACCUCAUUGUGGCCUUGCAGUGCCUGAAGGGAACCCACAGGGAAGAUGGAGAGAGACUCUGGACAAGGGCCUGGAGUGACAUGACAAGGGGGAAUGGCUCCAAAGUGACAAGAGAAGGUUUAGUGUGAAUAUGAGGAAGAAAUUGUUCCCUGGGAGCGUAGUGAGGCCCCAGCACAGGUUGCCCAGAGAAGCUGUGGCUGCCCCAUCCCUCAAGGCCAGGUUGGAUGGGAUUUGGAGACACUUGGUCUAGUGGAAGGUGUUCCUGCCCGUGGCAGAGGGGUUGGGACAACAUUCAAAGUCUAUUCUAAUCCAAAGCAUUCAGUGAUUAAUGCAGAACCUUUUACUAACCAGGAUUGUGAAGGCCCAUUCUCAAAACGUAUCAGUGAUAUAACCUAAAAAUGCCAAAGUUCAUCCUUCUUCUAUGGCUGGUCCCAAGGGGGCAAAAUAUUGCACUCCUUAAAUUGCCACCAUGAUAACUCCAAAGAACCACGUUUUCUGCCUUUAUUGAGAAACUUUGAAAAUCGACAUGCAAAGGAAGCAUAGGUCAGACUCAGCCCUAGUUUAAUUCUGAGCUUGAUAGUGCCCCAGGGAUAGGAGGAUUAGCAUGUGGUAUAGAGCUGGUUGAAGAGCAGAAGUUCCUCUCUGAGAAGAAUUCAAAGUUUUGGUAUCAUUCUAAAUUACCAAAAACUCAAAAAAUUUAGAAAAAAAACCCCAAAACAAAACCAAAACUUAGACAUUUCUAUGGAGAGGAAAAUCCAACUGAAAAAAAGGAAGUGGGCCUUACAGAAACAUUUUUAAACCCAGCUUUAAAAAAAUAAUUUUAUUCUGUAUGAAAUAUUUUUUAAAAAACAGAAAAGCAUUAUUUCAUAAGUAUUCAGGUUUUUUUUUUCAGGAAUAUCAGAUAUUCUUUCUCUUCCUCCCCAUAUCAUCGUGUUCUGGUUUCAACCCUGAACGAUGGAAGUUUAGGAGGAAGUGAUCUGAUAAUCACAAACCAAAGCAAUCUAAUAAUCAUGAACUGAGUUUUCUGUUGAAACAAAUUUGAAUGUCCAGUUGGUUUGAGGAGAAUAUGAACACACUCAGCAUGUUGCCAGCUCAGGUUCUAAAUAAAAAUUAUGUGUGGGCUGAAAGUCACAGUUUAUGAGAAAAUUGAUCAAACUCUCAGUUUUUAAUAGCACACACACCAAGAUAAGGGAGUAAGAACGAAGAAUGGUUUAUCAAAAGCUACAAGGUGAGAAUUUAUAUUUGGAAUAGAAAGGUACUGGUUUCCUUCCGUUCUGCAGACCUCUAAACACUUAUUUUGACCUAAUGUGGUGUGAUGGGAGGAGAUCAGAAAUAGGGCUGUGUUUUCUUCGGCGAGUCCAUUUUGAUAGCAAACCUGAGAGUUGAAAGCAACUUUUCAAAAUGGCAAGUGAGGUGCUCUACGCCGUGGUGUCACCCAAGGAAAGAGUGAAUUUUAUUUCUGAAACUUCAGAUACAGGUAAAAAAAAUGUUCAUUUUAAUAUUACUUAUUUUCUUUGCUCACUGAUGCAUUCUUAAAACUUUCACUCUUUCUUAAAUCGUUCACAAGCAGCUGAAGUCAUGUGGAAAGCCUUUUAAAACUAUUAAUACCCAACUCUGUUUAUUAUAUAUAUCUAUUGGUGUGGCAGAUUCAUGUAGAAUGAAUGCUGAAUUCUAGCAAAAGUGAAGAUUGACCUUUAAAAUCCCAUUCUGGCUUUCGGUAAGAUGACUGAAAUGAGUCUUAAACACAUUAAUGUUCAGACAUUGAAGAUCUUUAGACAGAUUAUUGGAAAAUCAUUGACAGCUGAAGUUCACUGGAUAGAUUUCUCUCUCCUGCAGUCCACUUAUAUUUUGUAUUUUAAUUUGAUUGAGUUUCUUAGACACCAGAAAUAUUUUUAAAUUCUAAAGUGAUAGGUUUGUUGCUAUUUUCUUUUUUCCUUCUCUUUCUUUUUUCUGUCUUUCUCUCUUUCUCUCUCUUUGUCUCUGUCUCUCUUCUAAACAUUCCAUGCUGAGAAAAAUACAAGUCAAGAUUUAA
rnacentral:lncRNA from 1 species